GCUCAGCCUGCGACUCCUAGGAGCCUUCGGGGGUGCGGCCCUGGAAGGCCAGGCCCCAAACGUGCGACUGAGGGACCCCGGCUUGCGCUGGCAGAGAUCUGUCAGGCCCGCAGUCGCAGCGACCCGCGAGAGGGACGGAGGAGGGAUGCGCCGCCUCCAGGCCAGCAGUGGAAUCUCACUGGCGCCUACGUAGAACGAAGAACCCCAGUGUCCUUUGCGAGGCGCCUUCCCGGCCCGCAGCCUACAUCUCCCAGGAGCCCCUGCGGCGCGUGGGGCCGUGCGGCGGCGCCUGAGGCCCCCCGCCCCGGUGGUGGCGAUUCUCUGAGGUGUGCGGCUCGUGCCGCCUGGGCGUCUGCGCACGAGAGGCCCAGGUUGUGCCACUGUGUGUGUGUGUGUGUGUGUGUGUGUGUGUGUUGUGGGGCCUGCGUUUGUGAUCCCGUUGUUUUGCGUGUGAGGGGAAACACCGGUUUUGAAUGUGUAUGUGUAGACUCUGCCUGCUUUUGCACCACAGCAGAGUUGAGUGGCUGUGCCACGGAUUUGUGUGGCCACAGAACCUAAACUACCCUCUGAACCUGGAUCCCAGCCUUUGUGAUUGUGGGGAGGGUGUGUGUGUGUGUGUGUGUGUGUGUGUGUAGGGGAUCCCAGAAAGUAAACGUGCGUGUGCACAGAAACUGCCGCUUGUGCCAGUGUGUGCGUGUGUAAGUGUGUGUGUGUGUGAGAGAAACCAGUUUUUAUUCCCGUCGCAGUGUGUAGUGUGUGGGUUUUCUCCCCACCAUCAAACAGUUCUCUGACACCAGCGGGUGUCCUGCCACUCAACCUGACUCUGACGCCCGGGUGCCCUGGGUCAGGAGCCCCGUGCCCAGGACGGCGCCCACCCCGUAUCCGACGCCCGUUCUCAGUCCGCAGGUCGGGGUUUUAGGCUGUGGGAGAAACGUUUUACUUACUGGAUCACCAGCUGUUCUAAACGGACCGCAGGAAUGGCCAGAUGAAGAACGUGGGAAGGGGCUCGCAGCUUCCACCUUCCCAGGACCUCCACGGUGUUCGGCAGCCUGGACGCUCUCUCAGGCUCCUCCUGUUUUGGAUGGAGCUUCAUUAGGGAUUUUUCCUUGGAGCAAGCGGCUUCUUGAACUGGAAGAUUCUUCUGAGUACCUGGUGGUGCUGGAACAAAGGGAAUGGCCAAGAAAACCAAGAAACCUCAAGAUAAACCUGCAAUUUGGCACUUCUUUGGGUGUUCUCCUUAGACCACCUCCCAGGAAACUAUAGAAGAACGUGUUCUGGAGGAUUCAGGAAAGGAAAGAAAGGAUGUCUCUUUCUCUGAUAGAAGAGAGUCCUACAGAGGGAUAUGCCGGCCACAUGUAGCCAUCUGCUUCUUGUCUUUAAUGAGCUGAGAGGACUUCCUGCUCUCAAGCCCACGAGGAGAAGGCCCAUUCAGUCACACAUACCAGCUCUUUGCAGACACUGACUCAUGGAGCCUUUGAGCCAAGGCUCCUGCCUUACUUCUGGAAAGUCCAUUUCAUAACACCCCAUGGAAAAGAAAUUUUCCUCGAUGCCAGUGGAGGUAUCCCUGCUAUGUUUGAAAUUAUGGAGAAAAGCUUCCAGAAGGUUCCUUUCACCUUGUGAAUAUUGGCAGUCUUCAUGCCCGUGCCUCAUCAAAGGCAAGGAUAUUCAUCAACGAGAAUGCCAUCAGUUCAUUUUCUUUGCGGUAAAUCCACCUCACGCUUGCUUCUGUGAGAGUUGAAGACGCCUCGUGCCCAAUUCCAGGAGUGUAAUUCCAUCUGCUCGCCAUGGUGUUUGGUUUAUGGGAGGGGUCGACAAACAGUGGCCCACAGACCAAACUGUAUCUGUCGUCUAUGGCUGCUUUUGCAUGACAAUGACAGAGUCCAAUAAUUGUGAUGGAGGCUGUGUGGCUGGCAAGGCUGAAAAUAUUUACCAUCUAGCCCUUUAUAGUAAAAGUUUGAUGAUCCCUGAUUUGCACAGGUGAGCGAAGUCUAUUUAUAAAUGAAAAGAUUGGAACACCCAGUGCUUUGUUCCUUGGGUCCUUCACAUUUCUCCAUGUUUACAGUGCAUUCCCUGCCCUGAUUUUUACACCACUAAUACAAUACAGCAUUGCAAAAUCCCCUAUCCGCAUGUGUUUCAUACUCUGGAAUACUUCAUCACAAGAUACAUGUGGGAAGAAGGGGUAGAUAUUGUCAGGUCCCCUCACCCCAGUUGCAUCUGGGGUGUUUAUUAAUAAUAACAAUAAUGAGCAUCAACAGUGUCAUGCCUUUUGGAUAAGGAGCACAGAAAAGAAAUGAUAAAAACAAAUGGAAAUGGUUACUUCCAGAGGAUCCU